rnacentral:lncRNA from 1 species
CGAGCAUCCGAGACACCUACUUCCCAUGACUCUAGUCCUCUGAUGCCUCCGACAGGUUCUGUCCUCUGCAGGGUCUGGUUUGAUCAGUAUUCGUCCCCAAGAAGAAGAGCCACACGUGUUGGGACAAUAAAAACGUGUUUUGUUGUCUUCGUUUCUUGGUUGAGAACCGCAGAUCUAGACCAAAGGUGCUGUGUGCUGCGUCCAGCGAUUUGCUUGAAAACGAGUGAGCGUCUAUGCAGCAUCUUCUUUCUGAGCUUUAUUCAACCAAAUGAAGAGUCCCAAACCAAUCCCUACUGUCCACCUCUCUAACCUUUAUAUACAAUGCUGGAUAUCUUUCCAUGCCAAAAUGUAUGCCCUUCUCCCAUUAUUAUUUAUGACCUUAGAGCAUUUAAACUUAGGCUAUAUCGCCGUUUAACCAAGGCCUUGGGUGG